rnacentral:rRNA from 1 species
UACGGAAGGAGCAGUGGGGAAUAUUGCACAAUGGGCGCAAGCCUGAUGCAGCCAUGCCGCGUGUAUGAAGAAGGCCUUCGGGUUGUAAAGUACUUUCAGUCGUGAGGAAGGUGUUAAGGUUAAUAACCUUAGCAAUUGACGUUAGCGACAGAAGAAGCACCGGCUAACUCCGUGCCAGCAGCCGCGGUAAUACGGAGGGUGCGAGCGUUAAUCGGAAUUACUGGGCGUAAAGGGCACGCAGGCGGUUAAUUAAGUUGGAUGUGAAAUCCCCGGGCUUAACCUGGGAAUGGCAUUCAAGACUGGUUAGCUAGAGUCUUGUAGAGGGGGGUUAGAAUUCCAUGUGUAGCGGUGAAAUGCGUAGAGAUGUGGAGGAAUACCGGUGGCGAAGGCGGCCCCUGGGACAAAGACUGACGCUCAUGUGCGAAAGCGUGGGGAGCAAACAGGGAUUAGAUACC